AUGCCACUUCAAUUGAAGCUCGUGCCGAUCGAACGUGUGCGGGUGGAAAUUCAGGGAGCCGAUUCCGACGAGCAUCCGGAAACAUGGGACGACUACUGGGAUAACCAUUGGGAAGAAUUUGAUGAGCUUGUUGAAACUGGGGGGUACGUGGACAAGACCCCACUUUUAAAAUGGUUCAUCUCUCGACGCCGUCAUCUGGCGCUUCUCGCUCCACCGAAACUUGGCCGUACCACCAACCAGCUCAUGAUUAGGAGAUUUUUUGAAAAGGAAGUUAUGCCCUUGGAUGCGAAUUACAAACCGACAAUAAAAAAACCCGAGACAUGGAACGAAACCGUGUUCAAGGACUUGGCGGUGUGCAAGGACGGGAAGUUUUGCGAAGAUCAUUUUCGGAAAUACCCAGUCAUCUAUUUGGAUUUCAGUAACCUCAACACAACGACAGAGCUAUCGUUUUUUCACAGUAUACGAUAUCUGACGACCUAUAUGUGGAUGGACCACGAUUCUCUGCGCAACAGCAAAGCACUCAGCGAGAAAGAGGUGCGUAGCAUUACCGUAAUAGCAUUCACAUGCAAACUGUUGUGAGUAAAGGCAUCAGUUUAUGACAUUAUAACAUGUUUAAAGACCUGAUGGCUUUCAAAAGACAGGAGCUAACAGAGGAAUGCUCAGGCAUGGUCUUACCUUAGAUAUACUACAGCUAAAGGUAAGUUUUCUUGUUAUAAUUACCUUGAGGUGCAUUUAACGACAAACGAGUUGUUCAGAAGACUGCACAAAUUAUUAAUUGAAACAAAC
rnacentral:lncRNA from 1 species